rnacentral:rRNA from 1 species
UACAGAGGGUGCGAGCGUUAAUCGGAAUUACUGGGCGUAAAGCGUGCGUAGACGGUUAUUUAAGUCGGAUGUGAAAGCCCCGGGCUCAACCUGGGAAUUGCAUUCGAGACUGAAUAGCUAGGGUGCGGUAGAGGGAAGCGGAGUUUCCGGUGUAGCGGUGAAAUGCGUAGAUAUCGGAAGGAACAUCAGUGGCGAAAGCGGCUUCCUGGACCAGCACCGACGUUCAGGCACGAAAGCGUGGGGAGCAAACAGG